rnacentral:rRNA from 1 species
UACAGAGGGGGCAAGCGUUGUUCGGAAUUACUGGGCGUAAAGGGCGCGUAGGCGGCCUGUUAAGUCGAACGUGAAAUCCCUGGGCUCAACCCAGGAACUGCGUCCGAUACUGGCAGGCUUGAAUUCGGGAGAGGGAUGCGGAAUUCCAGGUGUAGCGGUGAAAUGCGCAGAUAUCGGGAGGAACACCAGUAGCGAAGGCGGCACUCUGGGCCGGUACUGACGCUGAGGAGCGAAAGCGUGGGGAGCGAACAGG